rnacentral:rRNA from 1 species
UGGGGAAUUUUGGACAAUGGGCGAAAGCCUGAUCCAGCAAUGCCGCGUGUGUGAAGAAGGCCUUCGGGUUGUAAAGCACUUUUGUCCGGAAAGAAAUCCUUGGCUCUAAUACAGUCGGGGGAUGACGGUACCGGAAGAAUAAGCACCGGCUAACUACGUGCCAGCAGCCGCGGUAAUACGUAGGGUGCAAGCGUUAAUCGGAAUUACUGGGCGUAAAGCGUGCGCAGGCGGUUUGCUAAGACCGAUGUGAAAUCCCCGGGCUCAACCUGGGAACUGCAUUGGUGACUGGCAGGCUAGAGUAUGGCAGAGGGGGUAGAAUUCCACGUGUAGCAGUGAAAUGCGUAGAGAUGUGGAGGAAUACCGAUGGCGAAGGCAGCCCCUGGGCCAAUACUGACGCUCAUGCACGAAAGCGUGGGGAGCAAACAGGAUUCAGAUACCCUGGUAGUCCACGCCCUAGACGAUGUCAACUAGUUGUUGGGGAUUCAUUUCCUUAGUAACGUAGCUAACGCGUGAAGUUGACC